UCUCAGUUCACUUAACCAUGGGAUCUGCUUAAUACAAAAGACACUAGGCUUUUUUCCUUUCACUUUCAGGUUUCUGAAGCACAUUCUCCCUAAGUUUCGGCAUCUUGUCUGCCUGAGACCUUAAGGCUACCCAGAAGUCUCUUUUGAAAUUGAGAAAGAUUCGAAGCUACUUAGCUUACAUAGCUGAAAUUAUGUCAGAUGACCUGUGAGAAACAGCAGGGACUUGAGGGACUAACCCUCAGCUAAGCAAGAAACUCAUAAUGAAGUACAGCUGGUCCAAACCGCUUCUGCUUACAUGAAGCUUCAGCACCUCUUUGAUGUACAGAUGACCCUGAAUCUUAGCUUGUGUGCAUGGAACUCCUACUGAAAACCUGAGGGUUUUGGUAUAAGACACAUCUGAGGAUUUUUUAAAACUUCUUAAGUUACAUGCAUGGAUUCUACACAGGUUUUUGUUAAGUGUAGUUUGAAUUGGGCUUUUUGUAUUGUUUUUGUGCUUGAAAGUUAAACAAGACUUAUAUGAGUUAUGUGUGUUUUUGUGCACUCGGUGUUGCAGUGUUCUACUUGGCUCCUGUUGAAGAAGUAGCUUAGCCUAUUCCAAACUUUGCUUUAACAAUGACCUUCUUUUGUGUUUUGCUGUUAUUCAACAUUUGCUAGUGUUUACUGACGUACUUCCCUUAUAUUCAGAAUAGAAAAUACCUGUAACUGUAGACUGUUUGGCACACAUCUUUUUUUGGAGUGGUUAUUCCUAUUUCUGUAGAUGGUGCUUUAUAUCCUUACUGAUGCAAAAUACGUAACUUUAACAAGCGUGUUUUGUCGUCUUCCCCAUAUGUGUUUGUAAAUUUCCACUGUUUAAAAUAUAAGAUAUCACUUUCAGUAUGAAGUGUUUUUCUCACAGAUAAUGUUCUCCUUCAUGUAGUUGCUAAGCAGUGUGUAAAUCCAAAUAUAGAGGUUUUUUAAAGUCAUUUUCAGACUGCUGGUAGCCCACCAGGUUAUUGAUGCACAGUGCUCUGAUAUUUUCUCCCUUUAAUACUAAAACCAUAGCAAAAAUGCUACUAAAGAAUAUGUUUCACAUAUUUACCAUAGGUUUGCAAGACACUUUACUUUGUGGUACACACCUGUGAUUGACUUCUGUGAAUAAUAGAUGUUGAAUUUACAACAGGACUCAAUUCUGCUAACUAGUUUUCAGAGCUGUUAAGAAAGAAGAAUCUUUAGAAGGUACUGCUGGCUGUUAGUAUGUGCACAUGCUCACUGUGAGGCUUUUAGCCAGGACCAAAAUCUUAAGUGCAGUAGCGAAAUUGGAUGUUAAAGUUAUUUAGAAUUGGAAUUUAUUGUUCUAAGUAUAGAGUAAAAUAGUGACAAGUGAUAACUGGUGGACAGAUAAACUGGUCUCAUCAAGCAACAAUAAAUGUCAGUGGGUGCCAUUUCUUCUGCACGGAGGAAUUCAGUGAAAAACCUUUGCUUUACGUGUACUUCCAUGUCAGACAUCAUUCUGUCAGAUUGUCCCUCUGCUGCUAUCUAUUGUGUGGCAACAGAAUGCACUGGAAUAUUGUUGGGAAGGUUCAGUCUUGGCUCCCAUACCACCAACAUCCACCUCUGAUGUUGUGGAUCAACAUA